rnacentral:rRNA from 1 species
UACGUAGGGUGCAAGCGUUGUCCGGAAUUAUUGGCGUAAGAGCUCGUAGGCGUUGUCGCGUCUGCUGUGAAACCGGCUCACCGCUUGCGUCGAUACGCAGCUGAGUUCGUAGGGAGACUGAUCUGUGUAGCGUGAAUGCGCAGAUAUCAGAGACACGUGCGAGCGUCUCUGCGAUACUGACGCUGAGAGCGAGCGUGGGAGCGACAGAUAGACCCUGUAGUAGACAGUCUCUGCUACGU